AUAGACUAUCCCUCCAUAUAUUUAUAUCUUUUAAAAGUUCUUUCAGCAAUAUUUUGUACAUUUCAUUGUACAAGUCUUACACUAUUUUUAUUCCUCAGUGUUUAUACUUCUUUUUGAUGUGGUUAUGUGCAAUGUUAUUUUAGUGCUGAAAAAAGGAGUAAGAAAGAUGACAUUUAAACAGAGAUCUGAAGGCAGUGGGUUGGCCAGACGGUCAGCUGUUUGGAGCCCAGCAGAGCUGCAUGGCCUGGGAACCUGUGCAGUUACACAGGGCCUUGUGCCCAGAAGGCUCCCACACUGGGUUUAGUGGCCCAUGCGGGGAUCAAACCGGCAACCCUGGCCUUAUUAACACCAUGCUCUAACCAGCUGAGCUAACCGGCCACCACCAAUUGCUUAAUUUUUUUUUUUUAACAAAGAUCUGCAUUUUCAUUUUGUACAGGGCCCCAGAAAUCAGUAACCAGUCCUGUUUGGCGCAAAAUGAGUUCUAGGCAGAAAGAGCAUCAAGUGCAAAAGUCAAGAGAUAGGAAUGUGUUGGCAACUUUGAAUCAGGAGUAGGAGAGGAGUGCAUGGUUGACUUCUCCAUGUCUGCCCUUUAAACGUCCACCCUCCUGCUGGACCACUGUGGUUCCCACCCCUCCAGGGCUCUCAGGAGGGGCGAAGUCAACAAGGCCCUAAAGUCUCCGGAAGUGGGAACCACUGAGCUGGAGCCUUCGCAGUGCCUCUGCCAAGCCCUGGGACUUGGGAAACCACUUCUGCUUUCUGGCCUCCGUUUCUCCAUCUGCGUAGGGACCACAGAACUCCCAAGACUCUGUCUCUCCUCCGCGUGCAACACUUGGACACGGUGGAAAGGAGGCUGUUUGCACCACGUCGAGGCCGGCGAGGUGGGCGCGGGCGAUCGCCUAGGCCUGGCGGGCGGAGGCCGGGCCGGGAGUCCCCGAGCUGCCCCCGCUCGCCGCCAGCCGCCAGCCGCCUCCUGGCCCUCCCCCGGCUCCGGGCGGGGCCGCUCCCCCGCCGCCCCUUUAUCUGCGCGCUCGCUGCCGGGACUUGCAGGGCCUCCUCUCCCAGCUCCGCUCCGCCAGCCGCCACCCGCAGGUACCCGACUUGGAGGGAGUGGGAAGGGCGAGCAGCGUGCCGAGGGGCUGCUCCCACGCGGCGCGGGGUGCUGCGGGCAGCCCCGAGCUCUGUGUGAGUGUGAGAGUGUGGGGAGGGUCCCGUGGGGAGGGAGGACACAGGCAGGACCGCGCUGCUGGAGCGGGGGCGUCUCCCGACGCCAGGGGAAAUCAGCUGGAGGGAGCACCACCGCUGAGGAAGUGGGAGCAGGAAGGAGAAGCCGAGCGGUAGGGAAAGCAUCUCAGGGACGAGUGGGAGGAGGCGGGAGGAGAAAGGGAGUCAGAGCUGGAGGUGGAGCACAUCUGGGAGGCUGUGGGCUGAGGGGAGAGCUGGCCCGGGAGGGCCGUGAUACCUUGGAGGAGAAUUGACAGGGAGCUCGCUGCUUCCACUGGCGGAAAAACCUAGGGAGAGUCUAGGGGCAAAAUGGGGUGUGAGCACCUGGAACUGGGAAAUGUGAGGGGGUCCCUGUUGGGAAACCAGGAACAGUGGGAAUAGCACUGAUGGGGACCCAGAGGGGCUCCUGCUCCCCAGGAGCCUAGGCCCCUUGUGAUGGGGAGGCCUCCCUUGGUGUCAGGAGGGCAUGGGCGAUCCCCUCACUCAGUGAGGGAAGGGGAAGAUGGAAUCCCACACUGCCCGCAGCACUUGCCUCUCACCUGAAGGCUUUGAGGACCCAGAGAUUUCCCAGGGACAGCCCCUGCAGGCCAGGGUGGAGUGAGCAGCCAGGUCAGGCCAAGGCUGGGGAGUUUGAGAGUUUGAUGGAGUCUCAGAGCCUGGUUGCACCUGGGUGGACGGCCCAGGAUCUUAUAUGAAAGGGACCCAGCCUCCUGUCAUGGGGCUUGUGCCACCUCCGGGCAGCUUGGUGAUAGGCUGUCCGUCUCCAGCCUCAGUUCCACAGCCCAGAUGGGCUCUGGCUGGUCAGUGGUGAAUCUCAGGUCCCUUUCCUGUCCUCCAUGCUGGGUGACUGUAGCCUGUUUACGGAAUCUCUCCAGGCCCACUUUCCUCCUCCUGUCAGAGUGUUUGUGAGUCUGAGCUCCAUGGAAGUAUUCCUUUAAGAGUUACUUAUUUCAUUCUGAUCACACUUUUCAGUACAAAUGGAGUCCCCAAGUGCAGUGACAAAAAAACAAAACUGGUUUCUGUUCAGUUUUUAAAGACAUGGAAGGACAUUUUCUUUAAACAUAUUGGGCUGAGUUGAGAAACUGGUUUGCAUUUAGGGAGGUGACCCAGUUGCUGCAAGAUUGGGAAGCCAGCCAGGGAUGAGAACUUUGCUUGUAUAAAAUGUGACCACCCUCUGUGUGCGGGGAGUUGACCACAGUGGAUGAAGGGCAAGAGCAUUGGUUUUGGAGUCAGACAGACGUGUUGUGCUCUGCCAUCCUGCCUCUGAAGCUGUGACACCAGCUUAGAUGCAGGUUCAAAGGGUUGCAGUGAGGGAGAGAUGAAAUGUGCGUGAAAGUUCUUUGUAAACAGCAAGCUACUGUAAAUUAUUAAUGUUAGUGCCUAAUCUUGUUAAUGUUUCAGGCUCUGCCACACUGUGUUGUCCUAGUCAGGGCCCCUCAGGGGGGUUUACCUCUGACAGCCCCAGUGUUAACGCAGGUCUGGCCUUGGCCUUAUUUUGAUUUAAUGAGGUUAGACUUUGCUUUCCAUGGCAAGACAAAGUUGUCUUUAAGGGAGUGUGCUGAACAAUCCGAGCCCAGAAAAGCAGCAAUGGAUACAGUUGACCCUUGAACAACAGGGGGUUAGGGGGUACUGUCCCACACCACCCCCUGCCCCAGUCAGAAAUCCUCUUAUAAACUUUUGACUCCCGAAAAAAUUAACUACUUAUAGCCUACUGUUGGCCGGAAGCUUUACUGGUGACAGAAAUAGUUGAUUAACACAUAUUUUGCAUGUUAUAUGUAUUACAUACUAUAUUCUCACAAUAAUAUAAGCUAGAGAAAAGUAAAGUUAUUAAGGAAAUCGUAAGGAAAAUACAUUUACACUACUGUACAUGUUCAUUGAAAAAAUCUGCAUAUAAAUGGACCCAUGCAGUUCAAACCCUUGUUGUUCAAGGGCCAAGUGUAUUUUGCAUACCAGGAAAGAGGCAAAACAAGAAGUGGAAUUAUAACCAAAUAAUAUUUAUAAUAGUUAGUUGUUAUGUAGUUAGGCUAUUAAGCUCCAAGAGGUCAGGGUAUUAAUACCCUUAGGUGUUACCCUUAACUAUUAAUGAGCUGGGCAAUUAGUUCUAUAAGGGUGGUGUUUUAACUGCUUUGUUUACUGCAAAGCUCCAGCCCUGGCACAUAGUAGGCCUAAAACAAAUGUUGGAAUGUCUCUGGGCCUCAAGGACCCUUUGAAGUCACUGGUGAAUUCACUUUCCUUAACACUUGGAGAAACAGGGCCAAGAGGGGAAGGGACUUGUUCAAGGUCACACAGGGAUUGAGUGGCUGAGCCAGGACUAGAACCCCACAAAGCUGUGUCAGAGCGGACUCCUAGCAUCCAUGACUUUUGCUUUUGCAAGAUCCCUU
ensembl:lncRNA